CAGCUUCAAGUGGAACAACCCGCCUGUUCGGUGUUCGCACUGCAGCCAUGAUGCUGCCUGUUCCACAGUCAUUUACUCCAUGAUGGCAACCUUCGCUAUCGCAUUGCUGUGUGUGUUGCUCAGUUGAAUUUGGAGGCAGCUGAUGGAGAAAAUGUUACCAUAUCCUUCAAAACGGCUGGACUGGAGAGAGCCGAUCAAGUGAAGAUAACUUUGACAAGAGGAAGUCAGAAAUAUCUGAUUGCGCAGUACUGUCGCUGUGCUCAUUGUGGGGACUGUGAUGCCGUGGAAACACCGGGAGUCUUACUGCGAGUUGAAGAAGGAACCUUAACUCUUCUACGUGUCAGCUCCAAUAACUCAGGCCUCUAUGAAGUAAAAAUCAUUGGAAAUAAUGUGUCUGGGAUAAAUGCUACACUUGUUGUCAACAAACCUCUAUUGUCCUCCAGUAUAGAGCCAACACAAUCCUCCAUCUCAAAACCUCCAGAAUCCUCUGAACGCCAAAGGCUAUAUGUAUUAUUUGCUCCAGUUGUAUUCAUCUUUGUGGUCUUGGGGGUUUGUUUCUUCUGUAAAUACAAGAAG